rnacentral:rRNA from 1 species
GACGAACGCUGGCGGCGUGCUUAACACAUGCAAGUCGAACAGAAAGGCCCUGCUUUUGUGGGGUGCUCGAGUGGCGAACGGGUGAGUAACACGUGAGUAACCUGCCCUUGAUUUUGGGAUAACUUCAGGAAACUGGGGCUAAUACCGGAUAGGAGCUCCUGCUGCAUGGUGGGGGUUGGAAAGUUUCGGCGGUUGGGGAUGGACUCGCGGCUUAUCAGCUUGUUGGUGGGGUAGUGGCUUACCAAGGCUUUGACGGGUAGCCGGCCUGAGAGGGUGACCGGCCACAUUGGGACUGAGAUACGGCCCAGACUCCUACGGGAGGCAGCAGUGGGGAAUAUUGCACAAUGGGCGGAAGCCUGAUGCAGCAACGCCGCGUGCGGGAUGACGGCCUUCGGGUUGUAAACCGCUUUCGCCUGUGACGAAGCGUGAGUGACGGUAAUGGGUAAAGAAGCACCGGCUAACUACGUG